UUGUCAGUGAGGUCAAUCCUUACCUGUUCCUCCUUAUGGAGAAACAGAAAUGAUGAAUGGAGGAGGAUGAGUGCUGAUUACACAAUCUCCCCCACUGCCUUGAAUGACAACUCAGGGUGGUGCGAUUCUGAC